UGAAAAGGUAUAGUGUUAUGAGAAAAAAGCAGAACUCGAGGCUUGAGCCUUUCUUUCGAAGAUGGAGAGCAAACAGAGUGAUGCGGGCAGCUGGGGCCUCGGCAAACUCUACGGCGUUGACCCCGUGACCCCUUGAGGUCCCGCCGUUUUUUCAGUCUGCAACAGCGACAACAGAGAAGGCAGGAAUUCCAAGGAGAUUACCCUCUGUGUUGCUUGCUCAUAAGACGCGCCGCUUUUGUCAUCUUAAAGAACUUGUCCACCCAUGUCUUUUUCUAAAAUUGCUGUAUACAUACAGUACUGUGUCUUAGGCAGUCACAGAAAAUGAUGAUCUUCACAUUGGUGUAAAACUAUGAUAUUAUGUCUGUCAAAGUGUGUCAGCUUAGCCAUUCCAGAACCCCCCUAAAAUCACCUCAGUAUUUGCAGCAACCAUCCAAUACACCCACGUAGUUUUUGAUUGGCCUUGUUUGGCCAAUCAAAACCUUGUAAAGGUAUAUAACUAAGUAAGUUUAUUAAUUAAUUGAGCUGGUGGAGAAAUUUAACGAAUACGUAGAAUGGAUGGGGUGGCCCUAAGGAGAGGAUUGGGAAACAAAGCCGUAUUCAUCUAGGCGUCCAGCAAUAAUGUUAAAUUGUUUUUUUUUCUGAGAAAAUAUACAAUUACUGCCACGAUAAAUAGCUUUAAACAUUUUCUUUGACUGUCUAAGACUUAAAUAGUACUGUUUUUAUAAAAUCUGUUACUGCUCUAAAAUUUGUGUCUCUUGUUUUUCAUAGGCAGAAUUGACAAGCACACAACUGUAAUGUUGUAUUUGUACUUCACAAUUUUUUUUUCUUCUGUUUAGCACCAUGAAACACUGGUCAGCACAACCGACAUUUUUAUUCCUUUUUUUUGUUUUUGUUUUGAGCAUUAAUAGCCUAUCAGACAGGAGAAUGAAUUUGUGGGAGAGGCUGUAUGCCUGGAAUCUCCUAGACGUGGGAAUCCAGAAGUCAAAUGUGUCACCGAGUCAGUGCAGCAAUGUGGCGGAGAAAACAUCAAUGUGGGAACGCAACUGGUGGCCGUGAGUCAUCCAUACUGUGUCCACGUUGCGCGAACAUCAUGAAGGAUGAUGUCAUAAUCGGCCAAUGGCGUGCUAAGGUUCCCCCCGCUUGUCAUCACUUUGGAAGGCGGUGGGAGGCUGGGCGGCAAUUAUCUGCAAAGUCCAGGGUCACAGUGAGCCUGGAGCCCAACCCAGGAAGCACAGGACACAAUGCUGGGAACACCCUAGGUUCUCAAAUGGCACCAAGCGAGAACCAGCCCAGCACCGGCACCGGCACUGCGCUGGUGGAAGUGAGGCAUGUAAGUACAUAUAGAUAACUUGAGAUCACGGUUAAUGCCUGUAGAUGUGUUGCGAUCAUCGAAGAUGGCUGUAGAUGUGUUGAAACUGCUGUA